rnacentral:rRNA from 1 species
GUGCCAGCCGCCGCGGUAAUACGGAGGAUCCAAGCGUUAUCCGGAAUCAUUGGGUUUAAAGGGUCCGUAGGUGGAUAACUAAGUCAGAGGUGAAAUCUUGCAGCUCAACUGUAAAAUUGCCUUUGAAACUGGUUAUCUUGAGUUAUUAUGAAGUAGUUAGAAUAUGUAGUGUAGCGGUGAAAUGCAUAGAUAUUACAUAGAAUACCAAUUGCGAAGGCAGAUUACUAAUAAUUAACUGACACUGAUGGACGAAAGCGUGGGUAGCGAACAGGAUUAGAUACCCUGGUAGUCCACGCCGUAAACGAUGGUUACUAGCUGUUUGGACUUCGGUCUGAGUGGCUAAGCGAAAGUGAUAAGUAACCCACCUGGGGAGUACGUUCGCAAGAAUGAAACUCAAAGGAAUUGACGGGGGCCCGCACAAGCGGUGGAGCAUGUGGUUUAAUUCGAUGAUACGCGAGGAACCUUACCAGGGCUUAAAUGUAAGUUGCAUUAGCUAGAGAUAGCUAUUUCUUCGGACCACUUACAAGGUGCUGCAUGGUUGUCGUCAGCUCGUGCCGUGAGGUGUCAGGUUAAGUCCUAUAACGAGCGCAACCCCUGUUGUUAGUUGCCAGCGAGUCAUGUCGGGAACUCUAACAAGACUGCCAGUGCAAACUGUGAGGAAGGUGGGGAUGACGUCAAAUCAUCACGGCCCUUACGUCCUGGGCUACACACGUGCUACAAUGGUAGGUAC